GCAGUCGAGCGGACGUUUUUGAAGCUUGCUUCAAAACGUUAGCGGCGGACGGGUGAGUAACACGUGGGCAACCUGCCUUAUCGACUGGGAUAACUCCGGGAAACCGGGGCUAAUACCGGAUAACAUCUAGCACUUCCUGGUGCAAGAUUAAAAGAGGGCCUUCGGGCUCUCACGAUGAGAUGGGCCCGCGGCGCAUUAGCUAGUUGGAGAGGUAAUGGCUCCCCAAGGCGACGAUGCGUAGCCGACCUGAGAGGGUGAUCGGCCACACUGGGACUGAGACACGGCCCAGACUCCUACGGGAGGCAGCAGUAGGGAAUCUUCCGCAAUGGACGAAAGUCUGACGGAGCAACGCCGCGUGAGUGAUGAAGGGUUUCGGCUCGUAAAGCUCUGUUAUGAGGGAAGAACACGUACCGUUCGAAUAGGGCGGUACCUUGACGGUACCUCAUCAGAAAGCCACGGCUAACUACGUGCCAGCAGCCGCGGUAAUACGUAGGUGGCAAGCGUUGUCCGGAAUUAUUGGGCGUAAAGCGCGCGCAGGCGGCCUUUUAAGUCUGAUGUGAAAUCUUGCGGCUCAACCGCAAGCGGUCAUUGGAAACUGGAGGGCUUGAGUACAGAAGAGGAGAGUGGAAUUCCACGUGUAGCGGUGAAAUGCGUAGAUAUGUGGAGGAACACCAGUGGCGAAGGCGACUCUCUGGUCUGUAACUGACGCUGAGGCGCGAAAGCGUGGGGAGCAAACAGGAUUAGAUACCCUGGUAGUCCACGCCGUAAACGAUGAGUGCUAGGUGUUAGGGGUUUCGAUGCCCGUAGUGCCAAAGUUAACACAUUAAGCACUCCGCCUGGGGAGUACGGCCGCAAGGCUGAAACUCAAAGGAAUUGACGGGGGCCCGCACAAGCAGUGGAGCAUGUGGUUUAAUUCGAAGCAACGCGAAGAACCUUACCAGGUCUUGACAUCCUUUGACCACUCUGGAGACAGAGCUUCCCCUUCGGGGCAAGUGACAGGUGGUGCAUGGUUGUCGUCAGCUCGUGUCGUGAGAUGUUGGGUUAAUUCCCGCAACGAGCGCACCCUUGACCUUAUUUGC
rnacentral:rRNA from 1 species